ensembl:lncRNA
GCAUGAAAGUGAAAAGUGAAAGUGAAGUCGCUCAGUCGUGUCUGACUCUUAGCGACCCCAUGGACUGCAGCCUACCGGGCUCCUCUGUCCAUGGGAUUUUCCAGCCAAGAGUACUGGAGUGGGGUGCCAUUGUCAACACCUAUCCCUGUUUCUCUCCUAGGAUCACCCCUUGUCAGCCCUCCUAUCGCAGACGCAGAGCCCCUGUCUCGUUGUCUCCAACUCCUGGAGAUCCCACGCAGUGGUCCAUUUCUCUUUCACCCACCCGCUACUUUAAGGGAGAAAUCUAUUUCAUGUUACCAUCCCUUUGCAAGUGCCUCAGCCAUCCUGGGCGACCCCGUCGGUUCUCCCAUCGUUUUCCACUUCUGACUUUGCCUUUCACUCUCAGUCACUGCUUCUUCUGAUCCCCCUAGCCCACGUAUCUACAGAAAUGAUGAGUAAAUGAAACGCCCGCCUAUCAAAAGAGCACAUUUUCCAACGAGACGGACUCGUGACGGAAAAACGCUGGGUGUCACACGUCCAGCCCAGGGGUGAGGAAAAGGGACUGACCAGGAAGGGAGGCCUGCGGGGCAGAACGAUCGGCCUGAGGAGACGCGAGGGCAGAGAGGCUGGAAGCGAGGGGGUCUCAGGGGUCGGGCGGGCUCUCCGGAAUCCCAGGACCGGGGAGAGGAAUCGGCUUCUCCGGGAGUGGAACUGUCGACGCGACCUCCAGGGGUCGACAGGGUGAGGCGGUGGAGGUGGGCGUGCCCGAAUCCCCCUCGCGCCCGGGGACUUGACAAGGCACAGGCGCAGCCUCCUGGAAAUUUUGAGGAUUUGGGUCACUUUGCUCUCCCCCUCCGGAUGCGAGGAAAACAUGCACUGGGCACAGUGGAGAGGAGGAAGCUGGCGGGUUCCGCGGACCAGAGGCGCUGCUGCGGCGGGGCUCCACGCCGCCAUGCCCGCAGAGGCGGCCGGCCUUCCCAGCUGGAAGGCCAAACUCCACAUGGCUCGGUUCCAGAGACACAAGGUCAAAACCUACAGUCUGAGACUGGAGGACUAAGAAGACAUGGGUUCUGCUCCAGGAUAACGCCACAUGCCUCGGGGCAACUAAGACCAAGUGACACAACUACUGAGCCUGUGCUGUAACGCCCAAGAGCCCAAACUACUAGGCCCACGUGCUGAAACUACUGAAGCCCAAGCAUCAUACAGCCCAUGCUCUGCAACAAGACACAAGAAUGCCACGCACCACGACUAGACAACAGCCCCCACUGCUGGCAACUAGAGAAAAGACCAAGCAGUGACAAAGACCCAGAACACCUAAAU